AAUUAUUACUGUGAAGCCCAGAACAGAAGAGGACGUCAUAACUCCACCUUACAUCUGAUUGUUGUGGCAGGUUCAUUGAAAUUUCCAGUUGUUCUAUCAGUCAGUGCUGUUGUUCUGGUCUUCAUACUUCUUCUCUCUGUCUUCAUAUGGAUUAGAAAGAGCUCCUUGCAAAAACAACCUGAGGCUGAUGAGACACCACACAACAGAGCAGAGCAGACAGAUGAAACUCAGGAUGCAACCAUACGAUUCGUAAGAAACCAGGCAGAGGCUCUCUACUCCAACUACAGCCCAGCUCAGCCCCUCAGAAACGAGGAGGAGGUUGUUUACGCGGCCCCCAACUUCAACAGUGCCGCAGGAACAAGGCCUCAAGCAGCUGUGGAGGAUGUAUCUGCCCUGUACAGCAGAGUUAGUAGACGACACUGAGUGUGGUGACAACAUGGAUCUGUGGUCUGUAUUUAUGCAUGGACUUUCUAUGCCUUUUCUAGCAGGUGGCCCCAUUUGAUUUUUCCUCAGGACAGACUGGGCCAAGAAUGCAGAAUCAAGGCAGCAAUAAUCAUUUAUACAUCGAUUAUAUUAAUGAAGGACAGAUAGAUUAAAUAUUAGACACUUCUCUGAUGGUUUAAACAAAACUGGACAUUUAAACCUUCGUGAAGAAUUUAUUACAGGACUGUUGUGUUAAACUGCAUUACUUUAGCUCGUGUACCAUUUUUUCAGGACUUUACAAUUUUGAUUAUUAUAUGAUCACAUUUGGUCAUAAUGUUUGGGUUUUUUGUUUGUUUUUUUAAAGGGACAGUGCACAUCAGUGAACAUAAGGACAAUGCCCAAAUGUAAAUGAGCCAGAUUUAGCCAUACAGACUCAUUUUUAUCUGGAGUCCCUGGCAGGUUGAUGUUAUAAGAAUAAGUCACAUCUAUUGUCAGUAUUCAUAUGCUGAUUUUCUGAACUUGUAUUUUUAUUGCAUGGUCAUGUCCGCUCAUUAUUGGCUGCCUAUAUUGCUGUAUGUAUUUAUCUGCUUUGAAAACUCAUGUUUGCUUCAUCUUGCAUGUAAAAUAGUGAGUAAGACACAAGAUAAGACCUUUUCUUUCUGGAGAAAGAGAGACUGCUUGGUAACACUUUUUAAAAUGUAAAUAGAUAUAAACUGUAUUUUUCAUUUGCAUUUUAAGCCUUUGACAUGGAGUUUGUGUUUCAGUCGGAUUAAACAGCAACAACGUUUAUCGCAUCUUUUUGUUGUUGUUACAUCUGAAAUGAAAGGCACUCAACCAUUUUGGGGCAUAAAUCAACUUUGAUAAUAAUAGUUUUUGGGGUGAUAUAAAUUCUCUAAACCGUGGUUUAACAAUCUGUACAUAUGAUGGUGCUAACAGAGCUCAAAGGAAGGAAGUUUGUUGUUUAUCCAGUUUGUCUCCUUGUUGCUUGAAACGCUGAAGUGUGUAGUGAUUACUGAGAAUCGGUGUGUGACCAUAUCUAUUGUCUCAGACCUAAAUGUUCUGCACAAAUGUUAAAGUUUAACUAGUUAAAGAUCUACAAGACAAACGUCUGUAUCUGCUGUUAUCAUUCCACUUGUCCAAACUGGACGUUAAGAUAUCCUUUGGUAAAAAAGGGGGACAAUAUGCCGUCCUCUGUGCAAAAAUGUAUUCACAAGUUUAUAUGAAAUGAAUAUGAGGCUUAAGCCGUCUGAGUUAGACAAACAAAGUGCUCAUCUCCCAAAGUUACUGUCCUUUUAGUACCAAAUGCCCACUUUGUGUUUACUUUGUGUUUCCUGGCUGAGUUUCUGAGUUUCCCAAUAAAAAAGACUGUACCUACA